UACGGGGGGGGCAAGCGUUGUUCGGAAUUACUGGGCGUAAAGGGCUCGUAGGCGGCCAACUAAGUCGGAUGUGAAAUCCCCAGGCUCAACCUGGGAACUGCAUCCGAUACUGGAUGGCUUGAAUCCGGGAGAGGGAUGCAGAAUUCCAGGUGUAGCGGUGAAAUGCGUAGAUAUCUGGAGGAAUACCGGUGGCGAAGGCGGCAUCCUGGACCGGCAUUGACGCUGAGGAGCGAAAGCUAGGGGAGCAAACGGGG
rnacentral:rRNA from 1 species